GCUGAUACGAAAAAAGCAGUAUAAAUACAGAACAAGUUGCAAGGUAUGCUGCUGCACAAUGUGGAGAGGCUGCAACUACGAGGAUGCAUCAUUACACACAUGGGUGACAGAGAAAAGUAUUUGUAGAUUAUACAUGUAUAUGUAUGGGAACCAUUGAUCUCACCUUUUCGUAGACUGUGAGAGAAGAUCUUGACUGAAAUGGACGGGACAUGUCAUCAUUCUCCUUCACACUCAAGGGAAAAGACUCUCAAGGGUCUGAAUCAAUGAAAGAAACAUCUAGAGUCGGACAAUUGGAACUGAUGUGAUUUACAUAUGUGAAUGAAAAUGUCCAUCUUUGGAAAUUUUUCAGUAAGGUAUUUGAGAAUGUAUAAUUUAGCUAAGUAUCUAGCCACUAUAUCUGGAAUCAAUUAGUUACAUGUUGAUGCAAAAUACACUACAUAUUAAUAAACUGACAAAGGAAAGAUAAAGACUUAAGUUA
rnacentral:lncRNA from 1 species